rnacentral:rRNA from 1 species
GGCUUGUUGAUUAUAAUUUUAAGUUAGGCCUGCCCAAUGAAAAAUUUAAUGGCCGCGGUAUAUUGACCGUGCAAAGGUAGCAUAAUCAUUAGUUUUUUAAUUGAAAGCUUGUAUGAAAGGUUUGAUGAGAAAAAAGCUGUCUCUAUUGGAAUUAAUUAAAAUUUUAUUUUUAAGUAAAAAAGCUUAAAUUUUUAUAGAAGACGAGAAGACCCUGUAGAGUUUUAUAUUUAUGUUAGGAUUAUGUCUUAGGAAUUUAUUAUUAAUAUUUACUGGAAUAUUUUAUUGGGGUGAUUAAAAAAUGAGAUAAACUUUUUUUUUAUAAAAACAUUUAUUUAUGAAUUAUAGAUCCUAAAGUUUAGAUUGUAAGGUUAAACUACCUCAGGGAUAACAGCGUAAUCUUUUUAAGAGUUCUUAUCGAAAAAAGGGAUUGCGACCUCGAUGUUGGAUUAAAAUAAAUAAUUGGUGUAUAAGCUAAUAAAUUAGGUCUGUUCGACCUUUAAAAUUUUACAUGAUCUGAGUUUAAACCGGUGUGAGCCAGGUCGGUU